UCGAGAAUUUUUGACAAUGGGGGAAACCCUGAUCGAGCGACGCCGCGUGGAGGAUGAAGGUCUUCGGAUUGUAAACUCCUGUCAUUUGGGAACAAUGCGCAGAUAUUAACUGUAUUUGCGUUGAUAGUACCAGAAGAGGAAGAGACGGCUAACUCUGUGCCAGCAGCCGCGGUAAUACAGAGGUCUCAAGCGUUGUUCGGAUUCAUUGGGCGUAAAGGGUGCGUAGGCGGCGCGGUAAGUCGGGUGUGAAAUCUCGGGGCUUAACUCCGAAACUGCAUUCGAUACUGCCGUGCUUGAGGACUGGAGAGGAGACUGGAAUUUACGGUGUAGCGGUGAAAUGCGUAGAUAUCGUAAGGAAGACCAGUGGCGAAGGCGGGUCUCUGGACAGUUCCUGACGCUGAGGCACGAAGGCCAGGGGAGCAAACGGGAUUAGAUACCCCGGUAGUCC
rnacentral:rRNA from 1 species